AAAAAAAACAAACCCUAGUUUCCAUGUCCAACAUUUGACCGUCCGUCUUAUUUAAAAAAAUAUGAAAAAAAUUAAAAAAAUAAGUCACGCAUAAAGUAUUAAUCAUUUUUUAUUAUCUAACAACAAUGAAAAUACUAAUUAUAAAAAAAUUUCAUAUAAGACGGACAGUCAAACGUUGGCACGGAAAUCUAGGGUUUGCCUUUUU
rnacentral:pre_miRNA from 1 species